AGAGUUUGAUCAUGGCUCAGGACGAACGCUGGCGGCGUGCUUAACACAUGCAAGUCGAGCGAGAAACCUUCGGGUUUCUAGCGGCGGACGGGUGAGUAACACGUGGGUAACCUACCUCAAAGAGGGGAAUAGCCUCCCGAAAGGGAGAUUAAUACCGCAUAAUAUCAUAGCUUCGCAUGAAGCAAUGAUUAAAGGAGUAAUCCGCUUUGAGAUGGACCCGCGGCGCAUUAGCUAGUUGGAGAGGUAACGGCUCACCAAGGCAACGAUGCGUAGCCGACCUGAGAGGGUGAUCGGCCACAUUGGAACUGAGACACGGUCCAGACUCCUACGGGAGGCAGCAGUGGGGAAUAUUGCACAAUGGGCGAAAGCCUGAUGCAGCAACGCCGCGUGAGUGAUGACGGUCUUCGGAUUGUAAAGCUCUGUCUUUUGGGACGAUAAUGACGGUACCAAAGGAGGAAGCCACGGCUAACUACGUGCCAGCAGCCGCGGUAAUACGUAGGUGGCAAGCGUUGUCCGGAUUUACUGGGCGUAAAGGAUGUGUAGGCGGACAUUUAAGUGAGAUGUGAAAGCCCCGAGCUCAACUUGGGGACUGCAUUUCAAACUGGGUGUCUAGAGUGCAGGAGAGGAAAGCGGAAUUCCUAGUGUAGCGGUGAAAUGCGUAGAGAUUAGGAAGAACAUCAGUGGCGAAGGCGGCUUUCUGGACUGUAACUGACGCUGAGGCAUGAAAGCGUGGGGAGCAAACAGGAUUAGAUACCCUGGUAGUCCACGCCGUAAACGAUGAGUACUAGGUGUAGGAGGUAUCGACUCCUUCUGUGCCGCAGUUAACACAAUAAGUACUCCGCCUGGGAAGUACGGUCGCAAGAUUAAAACUUAAAGGAAUUGACGG
rnacentral:rRNA from 1 species